rnacentral:rRNA from 1 species
UGGGGAAUCUUGGACAAUGGGCGAAAGCCUGAUCCAGCCAUGCCGCGUGAGUGAAGAAGGCCUUAGGGUUGUAAAGCUCUUUUGGCAGGGACGAUAAUGACGGUACCUGCAGAAUAAGCCCCGGCAAACUUCGUGCCAGCAGCCGCGGUAAUACGAAGGGGGCUAGCGUUGUUCGGAAUUACUGGGCGUAAAGCGCACGUAGGCGGGUUGUUAAGUCAGGGGUGAAAUCCUGGAGCUCAACUCCAGAACUGCCUUUGAUACUGGCAACCUAGAGACUGGAAGAGGUUAGUGGAAUUCCCAGUGUAGAGGUGAAAUUCGUAGAUAUUGGGAAGAACACCAGUGGCGAAGGCGGCUAACUGGUCCAGCACUGACGCUGAGGUGCGAAAGCGUGGGGAGCAAACA